GACGAACGCUGGCGGCGUGCUUAACACAUGCAAGUCGAACGGAAAGGCCCUGCUUUUGUGGGGUGCUCGAGUGGCGAACGGGUGAGUAACACGUGAGUAACCUGCCCUUGACUUUGGGAUAACUUCAGGAAACUGGGGCUAAUACCGGAUAGGAGCUCCUGCUGCAUGGUGGGGGUUGGAAAGUUUCGGCGGUUGGGGAUGGACUCGCGGCUUAUCAGCUUGUUGGUGGGGUAGUGGCUUACCAAGGCUUUGACGGGUAGCCGGCCUGAGAGGGUGACCGGCCACCUUGGGACUGAGGUACGGCCCAGACUCCUACGGGAGGCAGCAGUGGGGAAUAUUGCACAAUGGGCGGAAGCCUGAUGCAACAACGCCGGGGGCGGGAUGACGGCCUUCGGGUUGUAAACCGCUUUCGCCUGUGACGAAGCGUUAGUGACGGUAAUGGGUAAAGAAGCACCGGCUAACUACGUG
rnacentral:rRNA from 1 species